UCUAUUCAGGAUCCAUCAGCAAUAACUUCCACCCCAUGGCGUGGUCCCAUCCCUCGUGACAACUCCCGUCUGUUGUCAUAGACUUCUUUUUCCAUCUUUUCUUGAGGAAUUCCUGGGAAUAAUAGAAGAGGCGUAAGAAAUGACCUUCACCUGGAAGCGGGUCCCAGCGGUCCCUCUGAUGUGCUCCCCUAAAGUAAGUCGUUUCAGCAAGUGAAUCCAAACUCUCCAGUCCAUUCCGAGAAGACGCUGAUGGGAGCAGAGACGCCCUCAGCUUUUCCCACACCUGCCUGGUGAUUCCGUUCAACAGGUUAAUGGGGCCGUUGAAAUGGGAAGAAGCUGUAAGCCAACAGCAUGAGGCUAAAACAGUGAGUUUUUUCAAGUGAGAAGCAACAAGAAAGUGUGUUUAUGCUUUCUCAUUGCCAGAGACUGAAUCCUCCCUCCUGCCCGGCCCCUUGCCAGUGAGGAGGGGCGCCUCGUUCCCAAAGCCUGCAGGCCGAGGCGUUACUGCCUCUCAUGGAUGAGUUUGAGGUUCCAGAGCUCUCUCCCUGCCCUGGAAGCUGCUCCCUCAGUGGAGAGGGGACUGUGCAUCCCUGGGUGCCGGCUGCUCCUCUGUCCAGACGAUGGCAGUGAGCCAGACCUGCUGAGGUCCUGUGUGGGGAAUCCGCACGCCUGCCCGCUGGCCCAUCUCCCCUCCUGACCUUUCUCCCUGUCCAGGGCUCUUCCUUCCAUCAGGGUAGAUUCAGUGGGGGGUGGAGGCAAUCAACAUGUUUCUCACCCCCCUCCCUUCCAACUUGCCAGAAGCAUCCACGGUGGAGGUUAAUCAAGGUCAACUCAUCACAGCCCCCUUCUCAGCUGUUGCUAGGAGGAUGGUCCUUGCCAGUGACAUGGUCCCUUCUGUCUCAUCAUCCUCAUUCUCCAGAACCCGAACUGUGGCUGCCAUCACCGGGCCGUCCCACCCUGCCCACAGCCCUCUGCCCUCCUGGUCUUGGACCUGCUCUGCUCCAUGUCUGUGCUCACAGUGGGCUGAGAGGUUCCAGGAGCUGGAAAGUGCUGAGCAGGCUCACAGCUUGCA